UAACUUUAACUUGCUCAGAAA
rnacentral:piRNA from 1 species